rnacentral:rRNA from 1 species
AGUGAACGCUGGCGGUAGGCCUAACACAUGCAAGUCGAACGGCGGCACAGUAAGAGCUUGCUCUUACGGGUGGCGAGUGGCGGACGGGUGAGGAAUACAUCGGAAUCUACUUUUUCGUGGGGGAUAACGUAGGGAAACUUACGCUAAUACCGCAUACGACCUACGGGUGAAAGCAGGGGAUCUUCGGACCUUGCGCGAUUGAAUGAGCCGAUGUCGGAUUAGCUAGUUGGCGGGGUAAAGGCUCACCAAGGCGACGAUCCGUAGCUGGUCUGAGAGGAUGAUGAGGCACACUGGAAAUGAGACACGGUCCAGACUCAUACGGGAGGCAGCAGUCGGGAAUAUUGGACAAUGGGCGCAAGCCUGAUCCAGCCAUACCGCGUGGGUGAAGAAGGCCUUCGGGUUGUAAAGCCCUUUUGUUGGGAAAGAAAAGCAGCAGGUUAAUACCCCGCUGUUCUGACGGUACCCAAAGAAUAAGCACCGGCUAACUUCGUG